rnacentral:rRNA from 1 species
AAACAUGCAAGUCGAACGCACAGCGAAAGGUGCUUGCACCUUUCAAGUGAGUGGCGAACGGGUGAGUAACACGUGGACAACCUGCCUCAAGGCUGGGGAUAACAUUUGGAAACAGAUGCUAAUACCGAAUAAAACUUAGUGUCGCAUGACAAAAAGUUAAAAGGCGCUUCGGCGUCACCUAGAGAUGGAUCCGCGGUGCAUUAGUUAGUUGGUGGGGUAAAGGCCUACCAAGACAAUGAUGCAUAGCCGAGUUGAGAGACUGAUCGGCCACAUUGGGACUGAGACACGGCCCAAACUCCUACGGGAGGCUGCAGUAGGGAAUCUUCCACAAUGGGCGAAAGCCUGAUGGAGCAACGCCGCGUGUGUGAUGAAGGCUUUCGGGUCGUAAAGCACUGUUGUAUGGGAAGAACAGCUAGAAUAGGAAAUGAUUUUAGUUUGACGGUACCAUACCAGAAAGGGACGGCUAAAUACGUGCCAGCAGCCGCGGUAAUACGUAUGUCCCGAGCGUUAUCCGGAUUUAUUGGGCGUAAAGCGAGCGCAGACGGUUUAUUAAGUCUGAUGUGAAAGCCCGGAGCUCAACUCCGGAAUGGCAUUGGAAACUGGUUAACUUGAGUGCAGUAGAGGUAAGUGGAACUCCAUGUGUAGCGGUGGAAUGCGUAGAUAUAUGGAAGAACACCAGUGGCGAAGGCGGCUUACUGGACUGCAACUGACGUUGAGGCUCGAAAGUGUGGGUAGCAGACAGGAUUAGAUACCCUGGUAGUCCACACCGUAAACGAUGAACACUAGGUGUUAGGAGGUUUCCGCCUCUUAGUGCCGAAGCUAACGCAUUAAGUGUUCCGCCUGGGGAGUACGACCGCCAGGUUGAAACUCAAAGGAAUUGACGGGGACCCGCACAAGCGGUGGAAC